rnacentral:rRNA from 1 species
UACGUAGGGUGCGAGCGUUAAUCGGAAUUACUGGGCGUAAAGCGUGCGCAGGCGGUUUUGUAAGUCAGAUGUGAAAUCCCCGGGCUCAACCUGGGAACUGCAUCUGUGACUGCAUCGCUGGAGUGCGGCAGAGGGGGAUGGAAUUCCGCGUGUAGCAGUGAAAUGCGUAGAUAUGCGGAGGAACACCGAUGGCGAAGGCAAUCCCCUGGGCCUGCACUGACGCUCCAUGCACGAAAGCGUGGGGAGC